CAGCCGCCGCGGGAAUGCGAAGGGGGCUAGCGUUGUUCGGAUUUACUGGGCGUAAAGGGCGCGUAGGCGGACUGAUAAGUCAGGGGUGAAAUCCCAAGGCUCAACCUUGGAACUGCCUUUGAUACUGUUUGUCUUGAGUUCGAGAGAGGUAAGUGGAACUGCGAGUGUAGAGGUGAAAUUCGUAGAUAUUCGCAAGAACACCAGUGGCGAAGGCGGCUUACUGGCUCGAUACUGACGCUGAGGCGCGAAAGCGUGGGGAGCAAACAGGAUUAGAUACCCCUGUAGUCCCUGUCUCUUAUAC
rnacentral:rRNA from 1 species